rnacentral:rRNA from 1 species
GACGAACGCUGGCGGCGUGCUUAACACAUGCAAGUCGAACGGAAAGGCCAUGCUUUUGUGGGGUGCUCGAGUGGCGAACGGGUGAGUAACACGUGAGUAAACUGCCCUUGACUUUGGGAUAACUUCAGGAAAAUGGGGCUAAUACCGGAUAGGAGCUCCUGCUGCAUGGUGGGGGUUGGAAAGUUUCGGCGGUUGGGGAUGGACUCGCGGCUUAUCCGCUUGUUGGUGGGGUAGUGGAUUACCAAGGCUUUGACGGGUAGCCGGCCUGGGAGGGUGACCGGCCACAUUGGGACUGAGAUACGGCCCAGAAUCCUACGGGAGGCAGCAGUGGGGAAUAUUGCACAAUGGGCGGAAGCCUGAUGCAGCAACGCCGCGUGCGGGAUGACGGCCUUCGGGUUGUAAACCGCUUUCGCCUGUGACGAAGCGUGAGUGACGGUAAUGGGUAAAGAAGCACCGGCUAACUACGUG